AAAGCUUUAAGUUAAAAAAACUAAAAACCUUCAAAGUUUUAUAUACAAGUAAGUAAGCUUUG
rnacentral:tRNA from 1 species